rnacentral:rRNA from 1 species
GUGAGUCAUCGAAUCUUUGAACGCAUAUUGCGCUCUUUGGUAUUCCGAAGAGCAUGCUUGUUUGAGUAUCAGUAAACACCUCAAAGCCUUUUUUUGUUAAGAGACUUUGGACUUGAGCAAUCCCAACACUUCUUUUUUUUAGAAGGGGCGGGUUGCUUGUUAAAUGACAGGUGCAGCUGGACAUUCUCCUGAGCUAAAAGCAUAUUCAUUUAGUCCCGUCAAACGGAUUAUUACUUUUGCUGCAGCUAAUAUAAAGGGAGUUUGACCAUUUUGGCUGACUGAUGCAUGGAUUUUCUACAAGAGUCUUCAAACCUACUCUUGUUAAACUUCGAUCUCAAAUCAAGUAAGACUACCCGCUGAACUUAAGCAUAUCAAUAAGCGGAGG